rnacentral:rRNA from 1 species
UACGUAGGUGGCAAGCGUUGUCCGGAUUUACUGGGCGUAAAGCGAGCGCAGGCGGACCUUUAAGUAGGAAGUGAAAGGUUGGAGCUCAACUCUAACACUGCUCCCUAUACUGGAGGUCUUGAGUGCCGGAGAGGAAGACGGAACGACACGUGUAGCGGUGAAAUGCGUUGAGAUGUGUCGGAACACCAAUGGCGAAAGCAGUCUUCUGGACGGAUACUGACGCUCAGGCUCGAAAGCCAAGGUAGCAAACAGG